UGGUCUGCAAGUCUUUUUCCUAUCUUUGCGAUAUUUCUUGACCGCAGAGACCAACUGAUCGCUGAAUCGGGGGUGUGAAAUAAAUGACAAUCCCACCACCUCCUCCAAUCUAGGCUUGACUUUAGGAGGAAUGACAUCCACCACAGUGGUUCAGAAUAUAGUGUUCAUUAACUGGUUGCUUUCUAUUUAUUGUUCAUUUUCAAGUCUCCGCCUUUUCAGCUGGUUCUCCAGAUAGGCUGCUGGAUCAUUUGCCUCUCCUAGUGGAUCUCCCCUUUAUUCCUUGGGGUCCACCUUAAGUGGGUAACAUUGUCUGAGGGCCUGCCAUACCCUCUGCCUGACUGUGUCAAACAGCAUGCAAUUGUUUAUUACAUUGUUCACAGCAUUUUUAUACCAGCCAUCUUCAGUAGUUCUGUCAGUUUAGUGGUUCCUAUCACUUUCACCAACAGUGCCUUCAAAUCUCCCAUACCCAAUAAUCGUCCCACGUUCUCCUCCUCCAAAGCCCUAAUCCAUUUCCUGCCCCAUCAGGAAUAUUGGGUAAGGUAUUUUUAGCCCUCUCAGUUUAUGGGUGCCACAAAGGAUAAUCUGUGUCUGUCCUCCUCUUUUCUUUUUAAAGCACUCAUCAAUUUAUCCCUCUGCUUCCCACUUUAAUCCUUUCUGGUAUGCCUUCUUUCUUAUUCUAAACUCAAUUUCUUGCUUCUCAAAUAUUCUAGCCUCCUUGCAAAUUCAUUCACCUUUCCUUUUUUUAAAUCUUCCACUGACUCCUCCUGCUUUAUUACUUCACACCUGUCAUUCCCUACUGUUAUCUCCUAACUGCCUCUCUCUCCUUUCUUUCUAAAAUGCCUAAGUGUAUCUAAUUCCUUUCUUUUCCCACUUUUCCAACUUAUCUGUGGGCAUAUCAUUCAUAAUUAACACUUCCAUCUUGUCACACAUUUACCUUGAAAGUGCCUUCCUUGGGCCACUUCCUCAAAUCUCAGCAAAUUCUGAAAAUCUCAACAAACAAUCAUUACCCUUCUCCAACCAGAAUGUUUUCCAUAAAACAACAAACCAUAAAAGCUGGUCAUGUUUCAGCAAUUAACUUAUUUCCAAUUAUUUCAAUCCAUUCUCACCACUAUUUUAAAUUUCCAAUUCCUAGUACUUGUAACAAUUUUCCAAAUUAGCUUUACUGAAAAUAAAUCUAAAAGAAACAUCAGGAAAAGUCCAAGAACCUACAUUUUCCAACUUUCCACUUUUAAGUUACCUUACAGCUGUUCGUAACCUUCCCCCAUUGCUUACAACUUAUUAAAGGAACAUACACCUACCCUUACAAUGUGGUCUACAACAAACAAAAUAAUUAUCACAUCUAUGAACUUCCUCAUUCAUUCAAAACCGGUUUUUACACGCAAAUCACAUUCGUUCCAUUCUUACUUCAAAGAAAUUAUGCAAUUUUCUACACGUAUUAAAGUUUCAAAAUUACCAUUUAUAUAAUUCUUAUCUCCCUUAAGUUAAAGUAGGAUGGUCUAAUCCCCUAUCAGUCAGGUUCCUGAGUGCAGUGAUUGGACAUUGAUUCAGAUCGUGAUUAGUCAGACUCACUGUCACUCAAAUUCUAACCACACCCCACUAAGACCACAACCAAUCAAAAUCCUAGUCACUCAACAUCUGACCACACGCCACUCCCAUUAAUUCCAGACAAAGGAACACAUUUUGUCUUGAUCUCUCAGUAGAAAAUGCUGAAAGAACAAGCAGCAGAAAGAAUGCAGCAAGCUUAUCUUCACAAACACUCUGCAUUCAACACCAUUGUGCCAGAGCUACUACACUCCAAACAUUCUGAGUUGACUGUGCCUGAACCCCUCUGUCAGUGGAUCACCAACCUACUGACAGGAAGCAGCAUGUGAGGCUGGGAAUGCACAUCUCGGACCCGCAAACGUUCAGCAUAGGAGCACCGCAAGGCUGCGUACUCUCUCCUCUCCUCUACUCUCUCUACACCAACGACUGCACCUCCACAGACACCUUUGUCAAGCUUCUCAAGUUUGCGGAUGACACAACCCUGAUUGGACUGAUCCAGGAUGGGGAGGAAUCUGCCUACAGACAGGAAGUGUCAGAGCUGGCGUCCUGGUGACCUAGAGCUCAAUGCUCUUAAGACAGUGGAAUUGAUUGUAGACUUUAGGAGAGCUCCCCCUCCCCUCACCCCAUUUCCAUCAACAACACCACAGUCACUUCUGUGGAGCCUUUUAAGUUCCUGGGAACCAUCGUCUCCAAGGGCCUUAAGUGGGGGGCUACCAUCGACUCCACAGUCAAAAAGGCACAACAGAGAAUGUACUCCCUGCGGCAGCUGAGGAAGCACAAUCUGCCACAGGCAAUGAUGGUCCAAUUCUACACAGCCAUCGUAGAGUCUGUUCUCACCUUCUCCAUCAUGGUCUGGUUUGGCUCAGCCACCAAGCACAACACCUGGCUGCAGCGAAUAAUCCGAUCAGCGGAGAAGGUUAUUGGCUGCAAAUUUCCCUCCAUUGAUGAACUGUACACUGCAAGGGCCAGGAAGCGAGCGGGCAAGAUCAUCUCUGACCCCUCUCACCCUGGCCACAAACUCUUUGAAUCACUUCCCUCUGGAAGGUGCCUCCGGACUGUCAAAGCUGCCACAGCCAGACAUAAAAACAGUUUUUAUCCACGAGUAGUUGCUCUACUCAACAGCCAAAAAUCUGUAGCCUCCCUUUGAUCUGGUAUUUUGUUGGUUCACAUGCUUGAUCAAUGGUGUUUUAUCAUUAAUGUUUUAUUAUUAUUAAUGUUUAGUGUUUUCCGAGUCAUUCGUAACUGUCACUGUAUGUCAUGUUGUUACUUGUGGGUGGAGCACCAAGGCAAAUUCCUUGUAUGUGAAUACUUGGCCAAUAAACUUACUUAAUUUUA